GUACUUCCUUCAGUAACAUAUGCACUAAAAUGGGAACAAUACUGAGAAAAUUAGCAUGGUCCCUGUGUAAAGAUGACAUGCAAAUUCAUGAAGUGAUCCACAUUUUA
rnacentral:snRNA from 1 species